GUCCACGCCGUAAACGAUGGGCACUAGAUGUGGGCGGUGUCGACUCCGUCCGUGUCGAAGCUAACGCAUUAAGUGCCCCGCCUGGGGAGUACGGCCGCAAGGCUAAAACUCAAAGGAAUUGACGGGGGCCCCGCACAAGCAGCGGAGCAUGUGGUUUAAUUCGACGCAACGCGAAGAACCUUACCUGGGCUUGACAUGUCCGUGUAAACCCUGGAAACAGGGUCCCUCUUCGGAGCGCGGUCACAGGUGGUGCAUGGCUGUCGU
rnacentral:rRNA from 1 species